UACGGAGGGUGCAAGCGUUGUCCGGAUUUAUUGGGUUUAAAAGGUGCGUAGGCGGCUUUUUAAGUCAGUGGUGAAAUACAGCAGCUCAACUGUUGAGGUGCCAUUGAUACUGAGAGGCUUGAGUACAGAUGAGGUAGGCGGAAUUUAUGGUGUAGCGGUGAAAUGCAUAGAUACCAUAAAGAACACCGAUUGCGAAGGCAGCUUACUAAGCUGUAACUGACGCUGAGGCACGAAAGCGUGGGGGAGCGAACAGG
rnacentral:rRNA from 1 species